AUUGAACGCUGGCGGAAUGCUUUACACAUGCAAGUCGAACGGCAGCACGGACUUCGGUCUGGUGGCGAGUGGCGAACGGGUGAGUAAUGUAUCGGAACGUGCCCAGUCGUGGGGGAUAACGUAGUGAAAAUUACGCUAAUACCGCAUACGAUCUAUGGCUGAAAGCGGGGGAUCGCAAGACCUCGCGCGAUUGGAGCGGCCGAUAUCAGAUUAGGUAGUUGGUGGGGUAAAGGCCCCCCAAGCCAACGAUCUGUAGCUGGUCUGAGAGGACGACCAGCCACACUGGAACUGAGACACGGUCCAGACUCCUACGGGAGGCAGCAGUGGGAAUUUUGGACAAUGGGCGAAAGCCUGAUCCAGCCAUUCCGCGUGCAGGAUGAAGGCCCUCGGGUUGUAAACUGCUUUUGUACAGAACGAAAAGGUUUCUACUAAUACUAGGAGCUCAUGACGGUACUGUAAGAAUAAGCACCGGCUAACUACGUGCCAGCAGCCGCGGUAA
rnacentral:rRNA from 1 species